rnacentral:rRNA from 1 species
AUUGAACGCUGGCGGCAUGCUUUACACAUGCAAGUCGAACGGUACCAGGCCGCAAGGUGCUGACGAGUGGCGAACGGGUGAGUAAUGCAUCGGAACGUGCCCAGUCGUGGGGGAUAACUACUCGAAAGAGUAGCUAAUACCGCAUACGAUCUAUGGAUGAAAGCGGGGGACCGUAAGGCCUCGCGCGAUUGGAGCGGCCGAUGUCAGAUUAGGUAGUUGGUGGGGUAAAGGCUCACCAAGCCAACGAUCUGUAGCUGGUCUGAGAGGACGACCAGCCACACUGGGACUGAGACACGGCCCAGACUCCUACGGGAGGCAGCAGUGGGGAAUUUUGGACAAUGGGCGCAAGCCUGAUCCAGCAAUGCCGCGUGCAGGAAGAAGGCCUUCGGGUUGUAAGCUGCUUUUGUACGGAACGAAACGGCUCUGGUUAAUACCCGGGGCUAAUGACGGUACCGUAAGAAUAAGCACCGGCUAACUACGUG